GCUAGUAAUGGCAGGUCAGCAUACUGCCGUGAAUACGUUCCCGGGCCUUGUACACACCGCCCGUCACACCAUGAGAGUUGGGAAUACCCGAAGCCUGUGAGCUAACGAAAGAGGCAGCAGUCGAAGGUAGAAUCAAUGAUUGGGGUGAAGUCGUAACAAGGUAUC
rnacentral:rRNA from 1 species